AAAUUAUUACAUUAAAAAAUACAUUUCAGUUACUGUCACAUAUGAUCUUUUAUUGUCAGUAGUUAGUAACAUGUAUGUACUAAUUGUAUUUUAGAAACAAGAGUAGGACAAUGUAAAAAAAAAAGAAAAAUAGUUUUUUUAUUCGGAUGCUAAGCAUGUUUUUGAGUGAAUAUUUAUUGAGUAAAUUCAAUCAUCCAGUUCAUUCAGAGAAGAUGAAUACACUUCGGCACUACAAUGAAUAUAACGAUUAAUGCUGGGGAGGAGAGAUUGAACUGGACUACAAAAUUUGAGAAAGCAGUCAUGUUUGUUGCGCUAGCUAUCUAUGCUUAUGAAAAAUUUGGAAUGAAGUUUAUUUUAAUAUGUUCCAUUCCUGUACUCAUAGUCUGCAUCUUUUUCUUUCUAAUUUGUUCCAUCAUCACCCUCCCCCAGUCAAUAUGCUGCAAGUAUUUACAGCCUGAAGAUGAAGAAUUCUGCGGUCAAAGAAUUUGCGUAGAAUACAAAGAAGAUACACAAAAACAAAUCAAACUUGAACCGUAAUUUACUUAAUGUUUGUAACAUACAUGGAAAAUGUUAAUGAUGAAACUUAUGUUCACUUCUAAAUUAAUAGUUCUCUAGUAUAAAAAAACUUAUAAUAUAAACGCUAUGACUAUAUAAUAGUUAUAAAAAAUUAAGCAAGUCUAAAGGAAGGUCACUUAGUAAAUUGUCUUAUUUCUCAA